rnacentral:lncRNA from 1 species
CUCUCUUCCCUGCUGCCAUGCAAGAUGUGACUUUGCUUCUCAUUCGCCUUCCACCAUGAUUGUGAGGCCUCCCAAGCCAUGUGGAACUAUAAAGGAAACCUCUUUCCUUUAUAAACUACCCAGUUUCGGUCUACAAAAGAAAAGUCAAAAUAAAUGACAUUAGCCCAUAGCAGCUGAUAUAUUUUAAUUCUUUCCUCAUAUUAUUAACAAACAUGAGACUUUCUCUUUCCAGGGAAGUUGGAUCUGUAUGGGAAUCCAAAGAUAAUUACAGCUGAGCCAUCCUGAGAUAGAGCCCCUGAGAGGCAUAGAAAUCUCCAAAGUGGCCUCUUUUUACACAGAUUGUGGAUAUUCAGUUCUUCCUUUGGUCCCAUGUUACAAACUAGAUUAUUCUUUGCUUUAGAUAUCCAACCAUUCAGACUCCUAGCUGAGUCUUACAAGUUUCUAGCUCAGGAGGGAGUUGUUGGGUGGCAGGGGGUGGCUCUGUGGUUGCUGGUUAUGUGGGGAACAUGUGGGAAGUGCAAGGAGAAAGGAAAGCUCCGGGCUUGCACACGUCAGUCAGGGCUGGUUCCUGUUCCUGUAACCUAAGAUUUCUGUUGACAUGGUGCCAAUUCCCUGGCAGGCAGGAAGAGGCUGCCAUGGAGCAGACACCGGUCAUAACCAAGCAAUUACCAGGCACUUAAAAACUUAAUGAAAUGGUCGCCUUUAAGAAGGAAAAGGAUAAAGUGAGCUCAGGGAAAUGAU